AUUGUACGCUGGCGGCAGGCUUAACACAUGCAAGUCGAGCGCCCCGCAGGGGGAGCGGCAGACGGGUGAGUAACGCGUGGGAAUCUACCCAUCUCUACGGAAUAACGCAUGGAAACGUGUGCUAAUACCGUAUACGUCCUUCGGGAGAAAGAUUUAUCGGAGAUGGAUGAGCCCGCGUUGGAUUAGCUAGUUGGUGGGGUAAAGGCCUACCAAGGCGACGAUCCAUAGCUAGUCUGAGAGGAUGAUCAGCCACACUGGGACUGAGACACGGCCCAGACUCCUGCGGGAGGCAGCAGUGGGGAAUAUUGGACAAUGGGCGCAAGCCUGAUCCAGCCAUGCCGCGUGAGUGAUGAAGGCCCUAGGGUUGUAAAGCUCUUUCACCGGUGAAGAUAAUGACGGUAACCGGAGAAGAAGCCCCGGCUAACUUCGUGCCAGCAGCCGCGGUAAAAC
rnacentral:rRNA from 1 species